UUGGGAAUCGACUAACUCCAACCCCUGUGACAUACCACUUGUUGCCUCGGCGGAUCAGCCCGCUCCCGGUAAAACGGGACGGCCCGCCAGAGGACCCCUAAACUCUGUUUCUAUAUGUAACUUCUGAGUAAAACCAUAAAUAAAUCAAAACUUUCAACAACGGAUCUCUUGGUUCUGGCAUCGAUGAAGAACGCAGCAAAAUGCGAUAAGUAAUGUGAAUUGCAGAAUUCAGUGAAUCAUCGAAUCUUUGAACGCACAUUGCGCCCGCCAGUAUUCUGGCGGGCAUGCCUGUUCGAGCGUCAUUUCAACCCUCAAGCACAGCUUGGUGUUGGGACUCGCGUUAAUUCGCGUUCCUCAAAUUGAUUGGCGGUCACGUCGAGCUUCCAUAGCGUAGUAGUAAAACCCUCGUUACUGGUAAUCGUCGCGGCCACGCCGUUAAACCCCAACUUCUGAAUGUUGACCUCGGAUCAGGUAGGAAUACCCGCUGAACUUAAGCAUAUCAAAGGCGGGAGGAA
rnacentral:rRNA from 1 species